UACAGAGGGUGCAAGCGUUUGUUCGGAAUUAUUGGGCGUAAAGGGCGCGUAGGCGGUGCCACAAGUCACCUGUGAAAUCUCCGGGCUUAACUCGGAGCCUGCAGGCGAAACUGCCGUGCUGGAGUGUGGGAGAGGUGCGUGGAAUUCCUGGUGUAGCGGUGAAAUGCGUAGAUAUCAGGAGGAACACCUGUGGCGAAAGCGGCGCACUGGACCACAACUGACGCUGGAGGCGCGAAAGCUAGGGGAGCAAACAGG
rnacentral:rRNA from 1 species